AAUGAAACAAGGAGUACAAUCAUAUCUGUUUCAUGAAAACUUAAGGAAGUAUAUAUCAUAAAUCAUUUCUCUGACAAAUUCCUAUUAUCAUGUAAGUAGUUACAGCGAUGUUUUUUGCUGUUUAUGUCUUUGUUUGCCUUCUUGAAAUAAAAGGUUUAAAUGAAGUUCAGAAAUGAUGUGGCUUCUUAUUCUCUCUUUCACUGUAUUUUAUGUAGUUGUAAAAUGAGUUGUUUAUUAAGAUAGAAAUUAAUUUUCUGUAUUUCUGUAAAUAAUAUGUUGUGUUUAUUUCCAGCAGAUGGAAUCAACAGUGUGUGUGAAACUCAAUGUGUAAUGUGAGAAUCUUUACAGUUGGUUACUUUUUGACUAUUAUUACUGCAUGUGAGAACUAAAACCUUCAGCCAAAGUCAUGCAAAGCUCCGUUAAGGCUUUCUGAUAACAACUGUGUACUGUCAAGACGUAUUUAAAUGUGCUUUUCGCUUCUCUUCCUGGCACGCCACGCCUCACACCUGCUGUCUGUUGUGCUCCGUUGCUCCUUGCAUUGUUUCACUUCUGUUUAUUUCAGUACUCAUUUACUAACUACGAACUAAAGCUGCCUGGGUGUUGUGAAGCCUUCCGCUGGCCGCUUGCCCUGAUCACUCCGCCCUAUCAUGUUUAACAUCUGUGUAACAGACUUCCAGUCCUGUCUCCACCUGAAUUUAUUACACCACAAACUAUGUAAAAGUACAACUCUGCCAUCUGGCCCAAACACAAACACACUACACAUAAAACAGUUCAUUACUUUCUAAAAUGUGAAGGUAUGUACCACUUUGGCCAAAUUAUUUAUUGUUUAUUGUUCAUAACCCACAUGUACAGUGAAGCAUGGUGAAGACACAAUCAUCUGUUCUUUGUCUCAGAACCACGGAUCGUCUCACCAAACAUCACAUUGUACCCUGUCUGGAAAGGUAAACUGGGAAACUCAGCAGUCAGACUGAUUUGCACUCUCAGUGGCUUCUAUCCAGACAAACUGAGUGUGGAGUGGCAACACGACCAACGACCCCUGAAUAUUGUUCCAAACGAACUAAAGCUGCAAAGUAUGGAAGGGAGAGAAAAAACCUUCAGCCUCAGCAGUGAGAUUGAGCCAAAUAUCACAGAGUGGACAACAGGCAGCAGUUUCACAUGCAAGGCCACUCAUGAAGGAAGUGAAUAUGAAAAAACAACAAGUAUUUGUGAGAUGCAUGCAAGUACUCCUCCUUUUAUGAUCCUGGACACUCCCAGCUUCAAGACUGUGAUGACGGCUACCUCUGAUGUGAAAGCCACAUGCUUGAUCAGCACUGUUUUUGAUGCCAAGGUGACCUGGCUUUUGAACGAACAAGUUGCACCAAGUAACACUGUUUCUAAAUCUGAAAACACAAGUUAUGUAACAAGUGAAGUAACUGUUCCUUCAACAAAGUGGAAGCAGCUGAAACAUGUUACAUGCAGAGCUGAACAUGCAUGUUUUUCAUCUGUGGAAAAGACCAAAAACAUCACAGAGCCUGAAGUUCCUGCUCCAGUGGUGAUGAUAAGCAGAUCUCUUCCAGAUCUUCUCAAGGGAAACAGUACUGUGCUCAAGUGUGAAAUCACACAACUUUCCUCACAUGAUCUCUCCAUCACAAUUCAGGCCAAUGGAGUUGACAUCUCUGACAGUCAAUAUGUUGAUUUUCACAAAGCCUCAGACAUUCAUUCAGUGACCAAACACUUCAAUGUUCCUGAAAAAUACUGGAAAAAAGACCAAAGUUUCACUUGCAAGGUGAAUCAAGGUUUUUCCAGCAGCAGCUCCUCCCAAUCUAUUGGCAAUAUUUUUGUGGAUCCAUCAGUGGAACUUCUUCUGAUCCCCAGUCAGGACUCUGAUUCACAAACACUCUCAUGCUCUGGAAGUGGCUUCGACCCUCAAAUCAAAUGGUUGCCUGAGCUCCAGAUCAGCUCUUCCUCAACAAAAGGCGCCAUCACCAUGAGUGCAGAUGGGCGUGUAGCAGUGACCAGUCAACUUCAAGUUCCUCGAUCAGAUUGGCAAAGUGGGAACGUCUUCACUUGUGAAGUCUCUGACAAGUCUCUCAACACAGCAGUCAACAGGAGUAUCAGUGUCUGCUCAGUGACUCCAGCAUCCUCUCAGAUUGCUGAGGUUUAUGUUCAUGGACCGCCAGUGCAGCAGCUUCAGAGCAAAGAAAAGGCUCUGAUGAAUAUCACCUGCCUUCUGGUCGGUCACCACCUUAAAGACUUCUCCAUCAGCUGGAAGGUUGACAAUAGCAAGUAUUUUGGACAAAAUGUUUAUCCACAGCAACCAAAGAGCCACAGCAAUGGGACAGAGACGAUGCAGAGCUUCUUUGGUGUGUCAGCAGAGGAUUGGCAUGCAUAUAAACAAGUGUCUUGUGAGGGAAAACAUCAAUGUUCCAACAAAGGCUACGAGGCCCGUAUCAGCAAAAGCAGAGAUCUGCUCCCACCAACAGUGAAGAUAAUUCAACCAACCGCCUCUGAGAUGUCAGUGUCAGAUAUCUUCACGGUUGUUUGCCAAGUUUCUGGAUUUUCCCCAUCCAAUAUAUUAGUCUACUGGGAGGAGAAUGGAAAGAAACUUCCAUCCUCUCGGUACGUCAAUGGUCCAGUGUGGAAGUACCCGAGGAGCAGCUCUUUCUCCAUGAGCAGUAAAUUAAACGUAUCCAAAAGUCUGGACACACCAGUAUAUUCUUGCGUUGUCAUCCAUGAAUCAUCUGAAACACCUUUUCGAAGCACCAUGAAGGAUGUUCUGGCUCCAGUGGCCCUCAGUGAACCUUCAGUCCUCUUGCUUCAGAGUUCUAAUGAACUUGUGUGCCUCGCCUUUGACUUCACUCCUGAAGCCAUCAACAUCACCUGGCUUCGUGAUGGAACCUCAGAAUUGCGGGAUUACAAUACCAGUGAGCCACAAAGAGGUGCAGAUGGAAGAUUUAGCAUUCGGAGCCACCUCCGUCUGUCUCCAAUCGACUUCUUACCAGGAGUGGUGUUCACCUGCAAGGUGACCCAUGCAAGCUUUACAAAGCUCCUGAAUCUAUCCAGACCAGACACCCUGGAGCAGUGUGAUUUUUUAGAUCACAUCGUCCAUGCUGAAGUGAGCCAAGAUAUAGGAGUGGAAACUGUGUACAUGGCCUUCACCUUCCUCAUCCUGUUCCUUAUUUCUGUUGUCUACGGUGUUUUUGCUACCAUGUUUAAGACCAAAUGAUGACAAGACGACUCCCUGCAGACUUGAGGAUUGUGAUGCCAUGUCACCCAGAUGUGUUCAGUUUUCUUUGCUUUGCUUUUGUAGUUCUGGUGUUGUGUUGUGUGAAAAAAAAAGUCAAGAAACAAUUAAAAAAAAACUACUUUUUCUGUGAUUUUAUAUGUACUUGAUGCAUAAAAAAGAUCAA